AGUCAGCACAUAGUAGUUGGAGAUAGUUGCAUGACUUGAGGUCAUCCCUUUAGACAUCAACAGAGAAAAGAGCCCUUGCCUGGGUGUACAGUCAGCAAGGAAGCAGCAGUGGUCAGAGAAAGGUGUUGGCUGGCCUGUGUUGUCAUGCCCCAGAAGGUACCUCCCUGUUCUGAGAUGAGUGGCUACAGGAGCACGAAUUUUGCAAGGCAGGAGCAGGCUUGAGCAGUAGGUGUGGUUUGACCAGAAGAAGCUGGGCCAACCUAAUAGCUCAUUGACCUCGCCGUAAUUUAAUCAACUUAUGCAACUGCCAGAAAACAAACCCUGCAAAAGUACAGCACCCCACAUUGAAAGCUAAACUGAGUCAAACUAGACCCAGUGGGGGACAGGGCUCCAUGGGUGGGAGCAGAUGAGGAGAGGUAAGACUACCUUCAGCAGCAGCAAGUAGAUUAAUUGAGGGUGUCAAGCUUGCUAGACAGCACAGGAACUUGGUUUUGGCUAUGUUUGUGUAAAGUGCCUGUCAGCAGCCCAGGAUUUCUAGCCUCCAGAGGAGCACAAAACAGUACUCGAGAGCAUCUGAAAUAUCAAGCCAUUUGCAUGGUCCACUGCACAAGUGUGAUGGUAUCCCAAGUGUAAGCAUACAAAAGACAAAUAACAUUUGUUAAAAGUGAAAUUGAGUUUUAGAAGAGUAAUUCUCUGUUUUAAAUGGGAAAGCAAUUCUGAGAACACUAGUUUCUGCCUGAAACAACUCCAUUGAAGAAAGGUCAAAGAGAAAUCUGUGCUACCUUGAUCCAGCUGUUAGCAGGGGAGACAUUUGAUUCCACUGAUCUGCUCACGUCCAGUGGAAGCUGUUGAUGGGAUAAAGAAAGGCCUAAAACUAAUGGACAGCACAGUAGGAACAAGCUAGCUCCAGACACUUUCUGCACUUGGCCUGAGACACGCAACCUAGCCACAGUAAGAGGAAGAACCUGUGAAUAAGUAGCCUAACAACCCAGUCUGCACACAAAUCGGAAGGCUGUGACUCUUCACCAACACAGAUGACAGAUCUUCAAGGAAUGAGGCCAACAGAAAGUCUGUCCAAGCUGUACACACGCCAUUGUGUGAGGACAGUCCUCUGGAACAUUGUUUCUAGCCUAGUCAUUGUAUUUAUGAAUUCUUUUAAGCAAUUGGAACAAAAUAAGUCAUGUUCCUUUUUAGUCAGAAGUUCUUCCCUGUUCGUUACAUCUGCAACUCUCCCUGGGUAAUAAUAUUUUUGUAUAUUUUGCAAAUUGUCACAUUCCAUGGGGACAUCUGAUAUGUGACUGAUAAAUAGGCUGUGUCCUUUAUAACAUGUUGGAGAAAACUAAUUCGCUAGGUUUUUCUUUCUCGUGUUAAACUAUGUGACCAAAACAGGGGAAGAAUUUCAGUGUAUUUGCACAAGGCUUUUUUGUCCCAAUUAAUUGUGUUGUCUUGUUUUCAGUUGUGUUUGCAAAUAAAUAAAGAGCAUAUUAGUUAUAUCUUCCCUGUAAAA
rnacentral:lncRNA from 1 species